GUAGGUGGCAAGCGUUGUCCGGAAUUAUUGGGCGUAAAGCGCGCGCAGGCGGUUCUUUAAGUCUGAUGUGAAAGCCCACGGGCUCAACCGUGGAGGGUCAUUGGAAACUGGAGAACUUGAGUACAGAAGAGGAAAGCGGAAUUCCACGUGUAGCGGUGAAAUGCGUAGAGAUGUGGAGGAACACCAGUGGCGAAGGCGGCUUUCUGGUCUGUAACUGACGCUGAGGCGCGAAAGCGUGGGGAGCAAACAGGAUUAGAUACCCUGGUAGUCCACGCCGUAAACGAUGAGUGCUAAGUGUUAGGGGGUUUCCGCCCCUUAGUGCUGCAGCUAACGCAUCAAGCACUCCGCCUGGGGAGUACGGCCGCAAGGCUG
rnacentral:rRNA from 1 species